GACGAAGGAUGCAAGCGUUAUCCGGAUUCAUUGGGUUUAAAGGGAGCGUAGGUGGCCUUAUAAGUCAGUGGUGAAAUCUCGAGGCUUAACCUCGAAAUUGCCAUUGAUACUGUAGGGCUUGAGUAUAGUUGCCGUUGGCGGAAUAUGACAUGUAGUGGUGAAAUACAUAGAGAUGUCAUAGAACACCGAUUGCGAAGGCAGCUAACGAAACUAUAACUGACACUGAGGCUCGAAAAGUGCGGGGAUCAAACAGG
rnacentral:rRNA from 1 species